rnacentral:rRNA from 1 species
UACGGAGGGUGCAAACGUUGCUCGGAAUCAUUGGGCGUAAAGCGCACGUAGGCGGCCUAUCAAGUCGGGUGUGAAAGCCCUGGGCUCAACCCAGGAAGUGCACUCGAAACUGAAGGGCUUGAAUAUGGAAGAGGGUCGCGGAAUUCCCGGUGUAGAGGUGAAAUUCGUAGAUAUCGGGAGGAACACCAGUGGCGAAGGCGGCGACCUGGGCCAAUAUUGACGCUGAGGUGCGAAAGCGUGGGGAGCAAACAGGG